rnacentral:lncRNA from 1 species
GCUGGGCGCACCCGUCCCGUUCGUCCCCGGACGUUGCUCUCUACCCCGGGAACGUCGAGACUGGAGCGCCCGAACUGAGCCACCUUCGCGGACCCCGAGAGCGGCGGCGCGACUCACCGCGGAGGCGCCCGGACGCGUCAAUGUCCCCCAGGGCAAGGCCUGAACCAGGUCGCGAGGGUCUGUCUCCCGUCUGGGGAGCUGAACUGCCCGAGACACUGUCGCAGUCGCGGGGACUUGUCUGGAGCGGCGGGGUCUGAGCCCAAGUCGGAAGCCGCCGCCGCCGCCAGCGUCCCGUGCGCCUGCCGCCCCGGGACCAGCCGCGAAACUUCUUCUCGGGACGGAGACAGCGCUCGCCGCCCGGGCCGAGGCCCAGCCCAAUAGGAAGCACCUGAUCCACACUCUUUCUAGCCCCAGGGAUGCUCAGGAAAGCAGCCUUUCUUUAGGGCUGUCAUCUGUUCUGGGGAUCUGUUGCUGUUUCUUGGGCCCACAGAAUACACUCCACACCUCGGGACUCCAUAAUAUUGGACAAGGCUGGAAGGCCCAUUUGGCUCCUGCAGCCUCUUAUGCAGGAGGACCUCCUGAGGCUUCGGGCAGGAGCUGGUGCACACCUGGAGGAGAGUGCUGGUGAAUGGCAGGUGUGUGCCUCAGUGUCCUUGCUGCCAGGGUGUCAGCCCUGCUUCACCACUGGCCGUUUGUCUCUGUCCCCUCCACUGGCCUCUUGAAGCACAGAGACCCUCCGGUCAUCCUCUUCAGCGGUCCUCCCAGAGCUGUCCUCAGCAUGGCAGCCUCCACAGCCCCUGGGUGUCACCCCCGGUUUCGUGUCUGCCUCGGACUCCAGACCUGCCCCUCCCAGGCUGGCCCAGAUGGAUCCUCUACAGUGACUAACCCAAACCAGCACCAGGCAGGGACCCAAUAAACCUUUGUGAAUGGAG